rnacentral:lncRNA from 1 species
UUGCAGAGUACAUGGGGACUGUUAAUAUUACCGUCAAUAUGCUUCGUCUUAUAGUAUUAUCAACAACGGUACUUUAUUUGGUUGUACCGGUUAUAUUUGCUGGAUCGUGUCGCCACUGUAAUGAAAACAAAAAAGGGUGCGGGCCGGAUUAUUGUGACGAUAAGAACAUCUGUAUUCUUAUAAUGAAAAUCUGCAAUGAUACACAAGUUCAGAUAAAAUGGCCUGAACAAUGUAUAUGCUGUCCGAAUACUGUAUGCCUUGAUGUAGUU